rnacentral:snRNA from 1 species
AGCGUUUGUACAACUAGUGCAUCA